CCCUUAGAUGUCCUGGGCCGCACGCGCGUUACACUGAUGCAUUCAACGAGCUUAUAACCUUGGCCGAGAGGCCUGGGCAAUCUUGUUAACGUGCAUCGUGAUAGGGAUAGAUUAUUGAAAUUAUUAAUCUUGAACGAGGAAUUCCUAGUAAACGCAGAUCAUCAAUCUGCAUUGAUUACGUCCCUGCCCUUUGUACACACCGCCCGACGCACCUACCGAUUGGAUGGUCCGGUGAAGCCUCGGGAUUGUGGUUCUUGCCGCUUUAUUGUGGCGUGACCGCGAGAACUUGUCUAAACCUUAUCAUCUAGAGGAAGGUGAAGUCGUAACA
rnacentral:rRNA from 1 species